UGUGCCUAUGACAAAAGCCUCAGCUACUUAUUUUAUGUUUGUGGCAAAGGGAACCCAGGCUCAAACCCAGGCUCCCUGUUCAUCCACGCUGUCCCCAUGCUAGCUAAGCCUCUGAUUCAAGUCCAGUUCCAGCUGACUUCAUCUUCAGGUAGACAAGCUUGGAGCAUGCAGAGGACCUGUGUUGUGUUAAGCUGUGGAUGCUGCGAACAUCAUAGUCACAGAUAGUUCGAGCCAGACAGGCCAGGUCUGAAAUGUGCCUUCUGAUGACAUUGGUGAGUUCUUGCCUUUCAAGUUUAUGCACUGAUGCAAGGUGAAGAACAUAAAGCUUCUUACUCUCAGGCACAACAAGCUGGAUGCUGGCUACACAUUCAGUAUGAGUCUGUCUGUAAAGGAACAGAUCUUACAAUCAGACUCCUACCGCCCCGGCACAGACAAUUUUCAGUAUUUGGACAGUCAUUUCAGAGUCAAUGUUUCAGUUUAAAAUAUCAAGCUAACAGAAUGCUCUUUGAAACAGAAGGUGAUAAACAUAUUCGUCAAAUGUUAACCUUAAGAAAAAAAUAUUCCCGGUUUUUACUAGAUCUUCUCAAGUUCUUGAAGACUUCAUUUUGCUUUAGAAAAUAUAACAAUGGAAUCAUUGAUGUAGAGAAGCUUUUGUUUUCUUAAUAUGGUAAAUUCCUUUUUCAAUGCCUUCAGAAAUAAAAUAGAUCAUCAUCUAAAACAUCAAAAUAACUCCCAUAUUUUUGGAUUUCGUACACCAGAUUAUAAAGGUAAUGGGAAAAAACCUGAACAGAAGCAGUUUACUAGUUACUAAAGCUUGGGGACAGAUUGAACUGUUAGACAUAUGAGCAUAAAUAUGUAGUUAUGCUCUCAAGAGCAGUCAGAUUACUCCAGAUUUAUGCUUGGCUACC